GUUACGGUNCUGGCGGAGUUGGCAUCCCUCUGUACAUGAACGGCCCUGGCUUUGGAUUGUCUCCCAUUUACCCAGGUGGUGUCCCCGGGCAGCCAGCCUAUGGCGGGAAACCUCCCAANCCCUAUGGCAUCUUGGGCUACAGAGGGGUGGGCCGCAAGAAGAAGUAGCCCCGACAGAUGGCACAGCGAUCACCUCAUGAACUUUGGUGCUACUGCGUGGUCUCGAAUGUACCCCUGCUUCGCCCCGCCCUGGGAAGAGCAGACGCCACCAGCUUCACGACCGCCCUGUGUCUUGCCCCACGCACCCCCUCCCCCCCGCCCCCCCUCUUCUGGUGCUACAGCCGUCCUUCCUUCGGGAUCACACCCAGCCACCCCCCUACCCCCUGGGGGCUUUGGUGCUGCAGCCGAGGGGGGCUGCUUCUGAGAGGGGGCUGCCAAGCACUUUAACCAGGCCUGUGUCCCGUGCCCACCCACGCGGAUCGGCUGCCAAGGCCAGUUUGCCCCGCUCGCUUCCCGGCCUAACUACGCAGCCCCCCCCGCCCCCCCCGGGGCCUCCUAAGCGCCGUGCCGGAGCCGCCGUCUCCUCCCUCCACACACACCCCGCCAGGACCAGGGGGAUUAACCUGGAUUCCGCAGCUGCCGGGUCCUAAACCGGAUUAGCCAGCCAGGCUGCACUCGGCAUCCCCGAUCCGGACCCCGGCGGCGCCUCCUCGCUCCGAACCGCACAGAGAGGUUGUCCAGGAAGGUCCGGCCCGAACCCGCGCCACGUUUCCGAUGUUUAAUCACUUCCGUGUAACUGGGAUGGGACACUUUUUAUAAAGAAGAAAACAGUAACUGCUUUCCAAAAAUAAGAUAAAAUUAAACAUGACUAAUAAAUAACUUUUUAAAGGAGAAANCUCUCUCUCU
rnacentral:lncRNA from 1 species